GUGGAAAAUCUCUAGCAGAGUGGAGCAGUGGAGAGGCUGCAGUGCCUCAAGCACCUGGUUCUGCCUAGCACAGGGCAGCAGUGAGUGGAGCCUGCUCCAAGGCCCAG